GAUGAACGCUGGCGGCGUGCUUAACACAUGCAAGUCGAACGAAGCACCUCUCCCGAAGAUUGACACAGCUUGCUGUAGAUUGAUUCAUUUGAGGUGACUGCGUGGCGGACGGGUGAGUAACGCGUGGGUAACCUGCCUCAUAGAGGGGGACAACAGUUGGAAACGACUGCUAAUACCGCAUAGUAAGAAGAAUUCGCAUGUUUUCUUCUUGAAAGAUUUAUCGCUAUGAGAUGGACCCGCGUCUGAUUAGCUAGUUGGUAAGGUAACGGCUUACCAAGGCGACGAUCAGUAGCCGGCUUGAGAGAGUGAACGGCCACAUUGGGACUGAGACACGGCCCAAACUCCUACGGGAGGCAGCAGUGGGGAAUAUUGCACAAUGGGGGAAACCCUGAUGCAGCGACGCCGCGUGAGUGAAGAAGUAUUGCGGUAUGUAAAGCUCUAUCAGCAGGGAAGAUAAUGACGGUACCUGACUAAGAAGCCCCGGCUAACUACGUG
rnacentral:rRNA from 1 species